AGAAAAGAGAGGCGCGGGAUGUAGAUGUAAAGGGAUGGUGGGAUGGAGAGAUAGAGGGGUGGAUGGAUGGGAGCCGGAGUGCAGCGUGGAGGAGGCGCAGAGGUUUUCUCGCCACGGGGUGAUGCUCGCUCUUUCGGUGCUGAGCAGCAUCCGUUCGUCUAUUUGACUGUGGGUGCGGAACUGUUACCACGCAGCGUGGGGAGGGAGAGAAGAGAGGAAUCAGAGAGUGCUACACCUGGUCUUACAAUUAAAGGAUAUUUCUUGCGACUGAAUAAGACUCAGAAAUGUCUUUUAAUUGUUUGACUACGUGUGGUUUGAUUGCUAAGAGAAAGCUCUGCAGCUGCGUCCAGCUGAUGCGGGUUUCAGCACCACCAGGGUCCGGACAGCUGCUCUGGAUCUUCAGACUUCUGUGUCUUCAUUUUAAAAACUGACAUGAUAAUAAAAAUUUAAAAAAUAAAAAACUGGUCUUCCACAUUCUUAUCAAAAAUACAAAUAUUUCUUGUAAUUUAAUAAUAAUGUGUUCUAUGCGUUUUAAGUUGUACGUACAGUUUUGUGGUUAUAAGUGAUUUCUGUUCUUAGUCCUUUCUUUGUUUAGGUGACAGUGAGGCUGUGAAGUUGCACCUAUGAUGGCCAGAUGUGUCCAAACAUCUGUUUUUCACUUUGAAUGAGCAUCACCGCAAAAUAAGCCUGUCAGAGUUCGACUCCUUGUCAGUUUGAUCAACAUUAACACACAUUUAAAGUUUAUAAUUCUUAAAAAAAGAAACAUCUCUCAACUGGAGAUAAGUUUUUUUUAAAUCCAUAAUCUGUAGGAUUACUGUUUUUUAUUCAGUGUGUUUUCAAAGCUUCCAAGAAACGUUAGAAAAUUUGUUUUUUAAAAUUUUCUCAAAGAAUUUAACAAACAAUCUUUAUCACUGAGGAUAACCUCUAUGAUCUACAGCCACCCUGAGCUUAAGCAAUGAUUCAUUACAAUAUUCAGUGCAGCAUUUAUAGGUAUUUUCUGAACUUUACUUGUAACUUUGUAACUACCACUCAUGUAGGAACACUGUGAUACCAUGAGGAAAAGUAAUCAUUUGAAUUUGUCCAUUAAACCUUAAAAAAAUCUUCUCAUUAUA